AAUUUAAAGAACUGAAUGAAUGUUUCUUCUUAAACGAUGUGAUGUCCUAUCUUUGAAAAGAAACAUAAAUGAUCCCUGGGUUCAUUUGGGUUCAAGCAUGAUGAUUAGCCACACCUGUUGUGAAUUGCUCCCUUCCCUGAACUUAAUGACUGCUGUUCUGCCAUUUGCUAGGACAAAAAGUGGGUGGAGUCUCGCACUUAUUUGGGCCGGGCUGUUAGAAUCAGUGCAGAAAUGGAGUUUGAGGAUAAGCCCCACUGCUUCAGCACGUCGUCUGUCCUCAGAGGACAAGGAUGUGCAGACUCCCAAUGAAAGAAUGACUGCACUGGAAAACCAGGUGGCGGCUCCACUUCCUGGUUUGCUGACUUGGAGACCUGGCACUAAUCUUCACUAUWUGGCUGGGACUAAACUCUCUUUGCUGGUAUCGUCCGGUUAUUUACCCCAGCUCAUGCAGGGUAUGAAAUAACUGGUUACAAACUGCCUUUUUUUUAAACUUUAAUUUAUGAACUAAUCCCUGGUGACUGGUUGUUUUAGAGAAGCUCUCAUUGCUGUUCAAUCGUCUUUUGUCACUUAUGCCUCUUAAA